UACAGAGGUCUCAAGCGUUGUUCGGAUUCAUUGGGCGUAAAGGGUGCGUAGGCGGCGCGGUAAGUCGGGUGUGAAAUCUUGGAGCUUAACUCCGAAACUGCAUUCGAUACUGCCGUGCUUGAGGACUGGAGAGGAGACUGGAAUUUACGGUGUAGCGGUGAAAUGCGUAGAUAUCGUAAGGAAGACCAGUGGCGAAGGCGGGUCUCUGGACAGUUCCUGACGCUGAGGCACGGAAAGGCCCAGGGGGAGCAAAACGGG
rnacentral:rRNA from 1 species